AUGCAACGCGAAGAACCUUACCUACUCUUGACAUCCAGAGAACUUUCCAGAGAUGGAUUGGUGCCUUCGGGAACUCUGAGACAGGUGCUGCAUGGCUGUCGUCAGCUCGUGUUGUGAAAUGUUGGGUUAAGUCCCGCAACGAGCGCAACCCUUAUCCUUUGUUGCCAGCGGUUCGGCCGGGAACUCAAAGGAGACUGCCAGUGAUAAACUGGAGGAAGGUGGGGAUGACGUCAAGUCAUCAUGGCCCUUACGAGUAGGGCUACACACGUGCUACAAUGGCGCAUACAAAGAGAAGCGACC
rnacentral:rRNA from 1 species